GUCUACGGCCAUGCCAUCCUGAACGUGCCCGACCUUGUCUGAUCUCGGAAGCUAAGUGGGGUUGGGCUUGGUUAGUACUUGGAUGGGAGACCACCUAGGAUUACCAGGUGCUGUAGGCG
rnacentral:rRNA from 1 species